AAGACUAUACUUUCAGGGAUCAUUUCUGUAGUUUCUGACUGGAGAAACGUGUUAUGAAAGUGUUUGGUCAUGCUGGUCACGAUGAAGAGGUAUGGUAUUCUCUUCUGAACAUGAAACAGUUGAAGAACAUGGAGACUUCUCCAUAGUUCUGCAUCUUUGAUGAUUGUUCCAGAAUCUCUAUGGAGAAGCUGGUGGAAGAGAAUGCGGUCUGAGUGGU